rnacentral:rRNA from 1 species
AACGGACGCUGGCGGCAGGCUUAACACAUGCAAGUCGAGCGCCCCGCAAGGGGAGCGGCAGACGGGUGAGUAACGCGUGGGAACGUACCUUUUGGUUCGGAACAACUCCGGGAAACUGGAGCUAAUACCGGAUAAGCCCUAACGGGGAAAGAUUUAUCGCCGAAAGAUCGGCCCGCGUCUGAUUAGCUAGUUGGUGAGGUAACGGCUCACCAAGGCGACGAUCAGUAGCUGGUCUGAGAGGAUGAUCAGCCACACUGGGACUGAGACACGGCCCAGACUCCUACGGGAGGCAGCAGUGGGGAAUAUUGGACAAUGGGCGCAAGCCUGAUCCAGCCAUGCCGCGUGAGUGAUGAAGGCCUUAGGGUUGUAAAGCUCUUUUGUCCGGGAAGAUAAUGACUGUACCGGAAGAAUAAGCCCCGGCUAACUUCGUG